AAACCAGCCAAUGAGUUUGCUUACAUGAAUGUGUUUCUGCAGGAAUUUGGAGAAAGCUGGCACUAGUGAAGCCAUGUUUCCAGCCUUAAAGACACUGAAGUCAUUUAGCUCUCUGAAGAUUGCUAAAAGA